AUUGAACGCUGGCGGCAUGCCUUACACAUGCAAGUCGAACGGUAACAGGUCUUCGGAUGCUGACGAGUGGCGAACGGGUGAGUAAUACAUCGGAACGUGCCCGAUCGUGGGGGAUAACGGAGCGAAAGCUUUGCUAAUACCGCAUACGAUCUACGGAUGAAAGCAGGGGACCGCAAGGCCUUGCGCGGACGGAGCUGCCGAUGGCAGAUUAGGUAGGUGGUGGGAUAAAAGCUUACCAAGCCGACGAUCUGUAGCUGGUCUGAGAGGACGACCAGCCACACUGGGACUGGGACACGGCCCAGACUCCUACGGGAGGCAGCAGUGGGGAAUUUUGGACAAUGGGCGCAAGCCUGAUCCAGCCAUGCCGCGUGCAGGAUGAAGGCCUUCGGGUUGUAAACUGCUUUUGUACGGAACGAAAAGACUCUUUCUAAUAAAGAGGGUCCAUGACGGUACCGUAAGAAUAAGCACCGGCUAACUACGUGCCAGCCGCCGCGGUAA
rnacentral:rRNA from 1 species